AGUCAAAAACAACCGCCACUUCUCAAUAUUGGCAUUGUACGAGUUUCAUAUUUGCUUUCAUUUGUUCAGCUCAAGUUUGGAAAAGUGUGAAAAUGUACAAGAAGCAGGAGAAUUGUACACUUUACUUCUGAGAACUGCGUCCCCUUUGAAGGGAGUUGGGAACCAGAGAAGAAUCUCCUAGAGGAGGAGUCCACUCUUCUGCAACCUCCUUUUUGCUGAUCAUGACUUGGACCGUUAUACGAGAUGUUGAAUUGAGUUUCUCCCAUUGAUUGGUUCAACCUUUCAGAUGCUGCUGUGGGUCUGAACCACAGCCAGGUUGGAGUGGUCUGCGAGUUGGGAGGAUCUCUCAGCCUAGACUGGCAAUCGCAGGCAAAAAUAGAAUGGGACCCACCCAUGUCAACUACAGAUUGUCUAGUAGUUCUAUGGCAAAAAGAAACAAGUCAAAAAUCAAAUCAUUGUAAUGGGUAAAAUGGUACCACUUCAACAUGUA